rnacentral:rRNA from 1 species
UACGUAGGGAGCGAGCGUUGUUCGGAAUUACUGGGCGUAAAGAGUGUGUAGGCGGUGCUCUAAGUUCGGUGUGAAAUCUCCUGGCUCAACUGGGAGGGUGCGCCGGAAACUGGAGUGCUUGAGCGUGGGAGAGGAAAGCGGAAUUCCUGGUGUAGCGGUGAAAUGCGUAGAUAUCAGGAGGAACACCUGUGGUGUAGACGGCUUUCUGGACCAUAGCUGACGCUGAGGAGCGAAAGCGUGGGGAGCGAACAGG